GAACCGUCGAGAUGGGAGAGGCCGCUCGAGAAUAUACGUGCAUCGUGGCUUUUUCGGCUAUUUACUUUUUCACUGUCUUGGCCGUCUUCUUCUCGAGCACUUCCGUGACGGAAGCGAUACGAAACCUCGACGACGGCUACGCGACGCCCGGCGUCUGCCAUUCUACAGCCACGCAUGCGAAUCGCCCGUUGUAAUAAUCAGCUGCGCGGUCAGAUUCGCGAAUUCAACAUAAAAAGUCACGGGGAGUGAGUGUCGCGUUUACAUGAAAAUUUGUCGCGGCUUUAAUAAAGUUUCUUGCGAACUUGUGCACGUGAAGCGACGUAAAUUUAAAGAAAAAUAGAAUAAAAAUUGUGCAACUAUAUGGUACAGUCAGGAGAAGAAUUGCAUCUUAGUAGAUGGCGCACGAAUCGCUUGAUAAGAUUUUUCCAGUGUACAGUCCAGUAAAUUAAAAAGUCAAAGAAGAGUGACAGUCAACGAAUCGGUCUACUACGAGAAAACGAAAAUCCGUCGUAUCGCGUUAAAAGGUGAAAUAAGAAAUUAAAAUCUGCCCGCGUACGACCAAACGCAUAUAUCUACAUACGUGUGACGCAUCUUAAAGUCCAGAAGCAACGACCCAAAGACGAAUGAAGGAACGUCUUAUAAAACUCGCAUAUAGUCUUCGAAUGAAAAUAGAAUUUCUGUAAUAUUUAAAAGUGAUAUACAACCCAUACUUUGCUACCAUUUUACCUGAAUCACAAAAAAAAAACGAAGGGGCCACGAUCUAGUGAAAAUUAGUCAAUUACCAUAGGGAAGUGAAAUAUUUUGUAAACUUUAUAAAAAUCCGAAUUUAUUUCCGAGUUAAUAUUUAUCUAAAUACAUAAAGUGCACCCUGACACCUUCUUACGUCACUUAUAUAAUGAUAAUAAUAAUAUAAAAAACGUGACUCCACCUACCGCCCCCUCGAAGACAACAUAAAUAAAAGUAACUCGACUCCCGAAAUUUAGCUUGUAAAUCGAGUUCGUGCUGCUUGAACUGCGGCCAAUGACGAGCAGUGCAGCCCAGCAGGGGUGGCGAAGAGUGCUUUUAUUUUGGACGUCAAAAUUUCACACAGUCACGCACGCUAAUUGGAUCUAAUGGAAGGCAACAGUGAUAUGCGACUUUGCGACAAAAGUACUGGCUUUCUAUGUCGUCGGAUAAUGGAGAGGAUUUUUUUUAUGU